GAACGUUACCUCUGCACCGCUCCACGUGUGACCCUCCUGAGCUGCACACACAGAUGAAGAGAACAAGCAUCCUGGAUGGAAGAGGACUGUUUCCCUGGUCAAGGGUGUCCGAGGAGCUUACUCCCCUGCUAGGGCCUCCAAACAAGCUCUCAAAAUAAUUACCACUGACCUAAUUAAGAAGAAAGAAAAGAAGAAAAUGAUUCUGAGCCACUGCCAAAAAAUAUAUCACUAUUAUU
ensembl:misc_RNA 7SK 7SK RNA